AAAAAAUAGAAAUAAAAAAUAAAAAUGUUGGAAUGUAGGUCAGUGGUAGAGCACCCCUGGGUUCCAUACCAGUGCAGGGGGGUGGGGAGAAGAGUAACAGCUGGACUGUGGUAGAGAAGCAGUGCAUGAGGCCUGGGGUUGGAUCCCCAGCACCACAAGGUAGUCAGUCAGUCAGUCAGUCAGUCAAACAAGCCCUCAGCAGUGGCUGCUCUUCAGGUAUGUGGACAAGGACUUUCAUUGCUGUGAUGUUUGUAGAGCCAAAACAAAACAGGAAAUAAUUGAAUGUCUGUAAGUAAACUAGUUGACUAAAUUGGGGAUACCCUUACUUGAGGAUAGUACGCAACCAAACAUUUCUUGACUUGGAAGAGAAUGUUCGUUAUAUAUUGUUGAGUGGAAAAAAAAUCAGAUUACAUAUUAUACACACACAUAAUUUUGCUUUGUUACUUGGCAAAUAUGGCAUUUGCUUAAUAUUGUUUUCAUAGAGUUGUUGAUGCAUUUAGAAAGCUAAAUUUAAAAUUUGACAAAGUCAUAAAAAUUAAAACAUUUAAACCUACAGUUGCCUAAAUUCAGAAUUUUAACUACUAUCUGUGAUUAUGCAAUGCAUACUUUUGGCCCAGAGUCUGUUGCUGAAUUUCUGAAACUUUAACCCAGUGCCCUUUGAGACUUUUUUUUUUCAAAACAUUAUUUUCUUAUAAUAAAAAUAAUACCUAACAAAAAGCUGGAAAAUACAGAAAAUCUGCAAGAAAUAUGAUUACCUGUGAUUUUGCUCUGCAGUGCAUAUUGUGUUGUUUCUGCUACUCUUUAUUUUUCUAAACAUAAAGUUUUAUCAACAUUUUUUUACUUAUUUAAACAUAAUGUUUUUUCAAAAUUUAGCAUUAUAUCACAACUUGUUUUCAAUCUUGCCAUUUGUUCUCACGAACUAUUUUUGAAUGGUGACAAAAUGUUUAAUUUUCUUACAUUUUAACUGGCACAGGUUGCAUUCAGUAGCACAUCAUUUAAAAAAUAUUAUUAUAAAAUAUAGUUAACAUUUAUAUUAAAAAAUGAUUAUCAUUUCCAUUUUUAAAAAGCUACAGUGGGAGCUGGGCAUGGUCGCACAGGCCUGUAAUCCCAGCAGCAUAGGAGGCUGAGGCAGGAGGAUCGCGAGUUCAAAGCCAGCCUCAGCAAAAACUAGUUACUAAGCAACUCAGUGAGACCCUGUCUCUAAAUAAAAUACAAAAUAGGGCUGGGGAUGUGGGUCAGUGGUUGUGUCCCUGAGUUCAAUCCCUGGUACAAAAAAAAAAAAAAAAAACCCUACCGUGGAACUUCGUGGAACUUCUGUAUCUAAUCAAGAUGGAACAAAGGGAACUGAUUUAACUUUGCUGCUUGAAAAAUCUAUCAAACUGGACAAAAUACAAAUAAACUAAUUACAACAUGUAAAACGCUUUUUUUUUUGGUGGGGGUACAUCUACAGCCCUUUAAUAAGUUUUAUUUAGAGACAGGGUCUUGCUAAGUUGCUUGGGGCCUUGCUAAAUUGCCGAGGCUGGCUUUGAACUCUUGAUCCUCCUGCCUUAGCCUCCCGAGCUGCUGGGAUCACAGGCAUGACCACUGCACCCGGCAUAAAGCACUUUCGUGUUUUGUGUAAAACAUGUUUUCAGACUCUGUCCACCAAUAGAAUAGUUGUGCUAGAGGGGAAUUGGAGGUGAUCCCUAGGACUGCCUGCUCUUGGUGCCUGCUGGGUUUUUCCAGACUGUAGCAUAGGAGGAUAAUCCCAAGCAAAACCUGGGAGUCUACAGGGUGGAGCAGGUGGAGCUGUGUCUAGGGAGGUCAGGGUGACUGCAGCUUAGAGGGUGGAACACUAGAGAGAACUGCCAGAAAAGAGGCCCAUGGAGAGAAGCCAUCUCUGGAGAGGGAAGGAAUUGCCAUAGGACUCUCCAGGUCCUGAUGGCUUCACAGUGAUGUCAGCCAGACUGGUUUUGGAGGUUCCAGUCCAUGACCAGUUGGAUGUGUUGCUUCUGAGCCUGAGGUGAAGGAGUGUGUGACGGCAAAGUGGCUCACCUUAUGGCAGGGACGUGGGGGAGGGAAGAGGACCAGCUGGCGAGGCACGGAACAACCAUUCGUUGACAUUAGUUUGCCUGUUACAGUUAGUGCGUGUUUCCUGAUUUCAAAAAUAACUUUUUUCUUUGCAAUGCUGGGGAAAAAUAACAUUUUAAUAAAAAAGAAAAUGGUUAUAUUUCUAGUUGAGAAAAUGGACAUAUUUCUAGUGGUAUAUUUCAGAACCCCUUCUUUUCAGCAGUCAUCUUAGGGAUUCACAAGACCCACUGCCAAGUCCUGGGAAAAAGUAGGAACAGCAUAGGUGGUCAGCGUAAGCAUUCCUCACUCAACAGUGUUCUCCAGCAAGUCACCUGCAGUCCUCUUGAUGAAUAGUGCCUUACGCUGAAGGUGGGUGGUAACUGGGAAAGAGGAGAGCAGGUCUUGCUUGCAAAUCAGUCAUAUAACUUAGUGUGUAGUCACAGGAAUCCUGGAGAACAAAGAAACAGCUGGCUUUCAUUUUGACUCCAUGCCUCUAACCAGUCAUCUACUUCUGAGCCUUGUGCCGAAGACACCGUGAUGUGAUUCAGGAAGGAGUGGAAAUACCUUGAUGUCGUGCUUGUGAAAAUAGUGGCAUGUGGAAGGGAGGCCAAGCGGACCCCUCAGCUGUCUGAAAAGAAGCCUUUGGUGCUGCUGAAAUGUGGGCGAGGGAUGAUGACUUCUCUCAGUUUGGUUAAUAAAACAUAAGUUGCAAAUGUUGAUAACUUUAUUUUAAAAGCCUGAAAGAUUUGACUUUAAAUAUUACUCUAUGCUACCAAUUUUAAAAACAGGAUUACAUCUUAAAUGUUUAAUGUUUUCAUUUCCAAGAUUCAAUCCGGUCCACUAAAAAUCUCUAGUGUGUCAGAGGUAAUGAAAGAAUCCAAACAGCCUGCGUCACAGCUCCAAAAGCAGAAGGGAGACACUCCAGCCUCGACAACAGGUACUCGUGUUAGAACCAUUCCUCUGAGACCAUAGGCCAUGAGUCAUUUCAGUGCAUUUAGACCCAGAGUUGCGGGAGGGCCCUGCCUGUAAGGGUUCAGGGACCCAGCUCACAUCCUGGAAAGGAGGAGUCUCACCUGAACCAUUGCUUAUCUUAGGGGUUGAGUGGGGCACAGAAUUGGGUGUUACUGUGAAUAGUUAUUAAGCACUAAUUGUCUUGUCAACAGUGAUUUUAUUUUUCCUU
rnacentral:lncRNA from 1 species